CGGCGGACGGGUGAGUAACACGUGGAUAACCUACCUAUAAGACUGGGAUAACUUCGGGAAACCGGAGCUAAUACCGGAUAAUAUAUUGAACCGCAUGGUUCAAUAGUGAAAGACGGUUUUGCUGUCACUUAUAGAUGGAUCCGCGCCGCAUUAGCUAGUUGGUAAGGUAACGGCUUACAAAGGCAACGAUGCGUAGCCGACCUGAGAGGGUGAUCGGCCACACUGGAACUGAGACACGGUCCAG
rnacentral:rRNA from 1 species